rnacentral:tRNA from 2 species
AAGGAUUUAAGUUAAUUAAACUCACAGCCUUCAAAGCUGUAAAUAAAGGAAAGAGCUUUAAGCCUUA